rnacentral:lncRNA from 1 species
CCAUAGUAGAAUUUAGGGAAAACACAGAAAGGAGGAGAGACACAGAAUGGUUUUUGGGAACAUCCAUGUGGGGCAGAAGAAUAAAUACAUGUGAAGACCAUGUUUCCAGAAAUGAAAUGACUGGCCACUGGGCAACAGUUAUGAGUCCCCCAAAUCCCUUCCUGGUCCUCUCCAUUUGCACUUGAAGAUGGAGUCUCUCUCUGUCACCCAGGUUGGAGUCCAGUGGUUCAAUCUCGG